rnacentral:lncRNA from 1 species
CAAAAUUGGUCUUUGGGAGACGACCUAGGGGUCAUUCCCUAGCUAUACUGCAUUUCUAAAUUGCAAUCAAAUUUGUAUGGGCCGCGACACCCAUCAAUGUGACUAUGUGAACACCAUGAUGAGUUAUUUUGAAUCAAGGCAUGAGUGCAUCUUGACUGAAUUUUGUUUGAUGAACUGAUUUGAGUAAUUACUUGUCUUAAAAGAAAAAGUUUUGGAAUGUGUUGAACCAUUGUAUUAAUUGGUGGAAGACUCAGUUACAUCUUGUUUGCUUGAGGAUAAGCAAAGUUCUAAGUUUGGGGUUGUGAUAACGAUUGAAAUACCGUUAUUUCUAUACUUAAUUUUGAUACUUAAAAACACCCUUUAUGACUUAGAAACUAGCUUGAAAUCAUGCUUUUGCUUUAGUUGAGAGAAUAAGAGAGUUGAAGGUGGUAUUAUUGGUUUUAUGCUUUGUUUUCCUUGUUUUGGCAGGAAUUACGAGGAAUUGGAUGAAAGAAGUUGAAGUAGCAAGGAGUUGGACUCAGGAAAGGAAGGAAAAUUGCACAAAAGGAGAACCGUAGCCACCGUUGAGCGCCACUUUACCAUUGAGCGCCAGUCUUGCUGAAGAGUUCUCUGUCUCUCGCCUGGGCGCCACCGUUGAGCGACAAUUCUGAUUGCUGCACCUACCGAUGAGCGCAAUUCCAGUGCUGAGCGCUGUCAGCGUGGGCUUGGGCCAAUUUUCUGUAAUUUUUAUAAACUAUAUAAAGGUUUAGUCGACCUAGAGGGUCUAUCUUUUGACAAUGAGAGGCACAAAAAUACUCUUUUCACCCCUCGGAGGCGGAUUUUGGAUGCGGAAGCUCCAAUCUACAACUUUUAGGGUUUUAUCUUUCAUUCUUUUCAUUAUUUUCAUCUAGUUUCACCAUGUCUAUGGUGAAGUAAACCUCCAUUGUUGUUGGGGAAACAAUGUAAUCCUUUGAAACUCUC